AUUGCUUCUCGGCCUUUUGGCUAAGAUCAAGUGUAGUAUCUGAUUCUAAAGCAAGAAGAUUGUACGUAGGAAAAUAAUACAACGAAUGGACCCCAUGAUGAUUAUUCUAAGAAUUAGGCUGCAAAUCUGACCUGCAGGUAGAAUUAUUGUCACA
rnacentral:snRNA from 1 species